CAAUAGCGUAUAUUAAAGUUGUUGCGGUUAAAAAGCUCGUAGUUGGAUUUCUGUUGAGGAUGGGCGGUCCGCACUUCGUGCGUGUAUCUGUUUUGUCCUUGGCAUCCUUUCAAGGAACAUAACUGUGCUUAAUUGCAUGGGUGGUACUUGGAACUUUACUGUGAGAAAAUUAGAGUGUUCAAAGCAGGCUUAUGCCUUGGAUAUGUUAGCAUGGAAUAAUAAGAUAAGACUUUGGCGGUCUAUUUUGUGGUUUGCACGCCAUUGUAAUGAUUGAUAGGGACAGUUGGGGUAUUCAUAUUUAAUUGUCAGAGGUGAAAUUCUUGGAUUUAUGAAAGAUGAACUACUGCGAAAGCAUUUACCAAGGAUGUUUUCAUUAAUCAAGAACGAAAGUUAGGGGAUCGAAGAUGAUUAGAU
rnacentral:rRNA from 1 species